rnacentral:rRNA from 1 species
CCUACGGGUGGCAGCAGUGAGGAAUAUUGGUCAAUGGGCGGGAGCCUGAACCAGCCAAGCCGCGUGAGGGAAGAAGGUACAGCGUAUCGUAAACCUCUUUUGUCAGGGAACAAAGGCGGGGACUAGUCCCCGGAUGAGGGUACCUGAAGAAAAAGCAUCGGCUAAUUCCGUGCCAGCAGCCGCGGUAAUACGGAGGAUGCGAGCGUUAUCCGGAUUUAUUGGGUUUAAAGGGAGCGUAGGCGGUUCCAUAAGUCAGCGGUAAAAUCGUGCGGCUCAACCGUACCGUGCCGUUGAAACUGUGGGACUUGAGUAUGCGCAGGGUAGAUGGAAUGCGUGGUGUAGCGGUGAAAUGCUUAGAUAUCACGCAGAACUCCGAUCGCGAAGGCAGUGUACCGGAGCAAGACUGACGCUGAGGCUCGAAAGUGCGGGUAUCGAACAGGAUUAGAUACCCUUGUAGUC